AAUUGAAUAAUUAAGCAAUCAUGGCUAGGCUUCUUAACCGUAUUCAACUCUUUGCAGCUUUCUUUGCUAUCAUUCUCCUCGUUGCAUCAGGCAAGUCACACUGAAUUUUGUUUAUCACACAUUAUUGUAUGGUUGUGAUUGUAGUUUCUUAAUUUAUAUAUUUUUUAAAUAAAAUCUUAUUUUUUUUUUUAUGAAAAAAUAUAAUAUCUUAAUUUAUAAUACUAUUUGUUUUUUGGUCUGUAUACAUAGUACUAUUUUAUAGCUUCUUACUUUGUCCCUUUUUAUUUGCUAAAAUUAAAUGUGUCGCUGUUAAAUGAAUUUUUCAUUAAUUUUGUAAAAUAUAUUUAAUUUAAUGGGAAUGCAGGUUCGGAAGAAAAGGAGGAACCAAAACCAAAAAAUUGUUGGCGUAUAAGUAACACGUGGCCUCAUGCUAGAUGCUUUCAUACUGCAGCUUGCAAUCACUACUGCCAGAGCGUAGAGAAUGCACUCGCAGGGCAAUGUGGUUUCUUCUUCAAGAAAUGUGAAUGCAAAUUCUGUGAUGAUCCACUAUCCACCUAAAGUGCAACAAGAAAAAAUAUUAGUAAAGAAUAUCAAUAUGGAUGAAUAAAUAAUAGUCUCACCAAUUUCAUUAGAACUUAAUUUCUUGAAGCAAAAUCUCAAUUAUUACGACAUUUCAUCUGAUUCGUCGUGUAUUUGACUAAACAUCUUACAUUAUU
rnacentral:lncRNA from 1 species